GAAAGCUUCUCUUUAUUUCACAGAGCACAGAGCCAACUCCUGAUUCAUCAAUAUCAUAUUAGUUCUCUCUAAAGCUUCCCUUUAAUUUACGGUUUUAAACCUUCUCUAGUUCUAGUUUGUGAGUAAAUUAAGAGAGACCAAAAAUGAGUGUGGAGAUUUUGGAUGGUGCCACCAUUGUCAACUUUCUGGAGGACGAGGAAGCAUUCAACGCGCAAAUAUGUGACCGCUUCGCCCACCUUGAUUCAGACCAUGAUGGCCGGCUUUCCUACGGGGAAAUGUUGAAGGAGCUGCAGUGUUUGAGGUUAUUGGAAACCCACUUCGGCGUGGAUGUGGAAACAGACCCGGAUGAGCUUGCUCUCGUCUAUGGUUCUCUUUUUGUCCAAUUUGAUCAUGACUUGAAUGGGACAGUGGAGUUAGAAGAGUUCAAGUCAGAGACCAAGCAAAUGAUGCUAGCCAUGGCCACUGGUAUGGGUUUCUUGCCUGUUCAGAUGGUCCUGGAAGAAGACAGUUUCCUGAAGAAGGCUGUGGAGUGGGAAUCUACUAAACUCGUUGCCUGACUAAUUCCACAUCCAUUACCCUAUACAUGACUCAUUAAUUGUCUUCGUUAUUUCUUUCUUCUCCGAAUGCAUUCCAAGUUUAGCUGAAUGUAGCAAAGAAAAUAAAUGAAAUGCUCUGUUAUUGGUGCAAUUUGGCAUCUUAAAACUCGGUUCUCUCCUAAUGCAAUUUGGUCAUGACCAUCCAGCCAUAGUUAAUAUAACGAAAGGCUGACAGAAACACGAAUAUCUUUCCUCUUUCAAGAGGGCUUCAUCAACUAAUAGAUACAUGGGCAGAAGGAUUGAGCUGGAUGCAUCUCAGUCAUCGUUCAAAAUUUAGCUUCAAGGGAAUGGAAUUGGUAGAACAGAGUUGCAUCAGAAUGGAAAAAGAACUUGCGUGUGUCAGGUCCAGGGGAACAGAUAAAAAUUAAAGAAAUAACUGUCCUCGUAUAAAGUAUAGUUAAAUAAAAAUUUCGAGUCGAAUCUGUUGUGCGUCUGAAAACCUAAUUCCAUCAUGAUUUGUUUAGCAUGCGUAUGAAACAAACUUCCCGCAUUGAAAAGAGGGAAGCAAUUAUUUAAAACGGUAGAGAUUGCGUUUCAAUCAAAACGCAGGAGCCAAGCGUUUGGUAAUAUCAAAAACGCUAAAAAUGACCGGUGGGACCCAUGCCAAUUCAUGUUUUAAACGCGACAUUCGCGAAGCAGCUCUAGGCUGCUUUUUGAAAUUUUGUAUUCGCGUGCACAGUGCAAUUCACUUGCACUGUUCGGGUGAUUUUUUUUUAUUUUUUUUUUAGUGUGUAUAGUUUUUGUAUAUAUUUUUUUUUAAAAAAACUAGUUUUACAUUGUCAUGUAAACAAUAUUUUUUUUUCCUGAAAAACUAGUAUAGAGCGAAUUAAAUUCACUCGCACUGUAAUAUCAAAUUAAUUUUAUUCAUGAUAAUAUUUUAUCUAAUUUUAUUGCAAGCUCAAAAAAUUAUAGAAACUGUAGUUCUUGUCGAAUGAAUUUUGUACGUAAUGGAAUUGUAGAUGGUUUAAUGGCAUAAUAAAAAAUAUUUUAUAUAAAGUAUUAUUUAUUUCAUGAAGUAAUAGUAAUGGUUAAAUCUACAAUAUUUAAAUUAAAAAUCAUCAAUUUUAAUAUGUAUAUUUUAAUUAUUUUAUAAUCUCAAUUUGAAAAGUAUUUUUUUAACCAAACACAUUAAACUACUUUUUCUUCAACCUCAAUUUCAACCACAGUUUUAACCAAACACCUAUUUUUUCAAACCAACCUCAACUAAAAGUACUUUUUAUAAAACAACUUUUUUCAAAUCACAACCACAAAAGCUACCGCAAUACCAAACACACACUUAAUAUCCUAUAUAUGCAAAAACGCAACUUGAACGAAGAACCUGGAUGGUUAAAAACAACACACUUGCAGGCUUGUAGCUCCUGAUAUUUUCAGCCUCGUGUGAAGAUGGACAAUGAUGGUUGAAAAAUCUUUGUAUGUUUUAUCUAGGUAGAUUACUCAUAAUAAUAAGAUUAUUUUUAAAAAAUCUUUGUCUUUUUUACCUGGGUAGCUCAUCCAUUGUAAUAAGACUACUCGAAAAAAAUCUUUGUAUUUCUCUACUUGAAUAGGUCACCCAUUACAAUAAAACUACUUUGAAAAGACCUUUGAGUUUUUCAUUUGGGUGGGUCACCCAUGAUAAAUUGAACAUUUCAGAAUCUUUGAAUUCUACCAAUAGACAGGUUGCUUGGUACUACCAUAUCACUUCAAAAGUCUUUCACAAAGAUAAUCUUUUUCUUUAGAAACUCUAUCUCCUUUUUUUUCGAGUACACUUUCUAACCCUCAUUCUUCAGAUAGUGUGCUUUUUAUCCCUAUCUAUUUUUUUCUGAGUGCACUUUUAAGCCCUUACUACAAACAUUUUCAGAAAGAUUGACCAUUUCUUAAUAUGGUGAGUCCAUAAUCUCGUUCUUUUUCUUCAUCUUUACAAAACUUAUUGUCUAAAGUCUCUCACGAGACUUUCGUUAUAAAGAUUGUAAAGAGAGAGGCAACUGUCAUAACUCAUUUCUGGAUUAUUCCCUAAAUUCACAUUUUUUUUCUUUCCAAAAUAAAAGUCAAAAAAGAAAAUAAAGAAAGCAAGAAAACUAGCGACAUAUAGGAAUAUUAAGUUGUGACUUUGGAAGCCUAAUUGUAUCCUAUUUUACCCACAACUGGAGAGACAAUGUAAAUUAAAGGUCAAAUUAAAUGAUUAUUGGAUGAAUCUACUUAAAAAUUAAGCUUGAGGAUAUAAUUAGAAUUUUAAUAGGCCAAUUUGAUUUAAUCAUGGGCCAAAUUGAGAAUUUAAUUAUGUUUAAGAAUUAAUUUGGGUAAUUAAAGGAUUUAAUGAGGUGCAAGAACUUAAUUAUACUUUAAAUAGGUCAAAUUAAUUUUAUUAAGGGCUUAAUUGAUGAAAAUCUAAGUUUAGAAGCCCAAUUUGAGCUUAAUUGAGAAAAUUGGAAUUUUAGAAAACCAAAUAUAAUUUCCUUAAAGUCAAUUGGUUCAAAUUAGGGGUAAAAUCGCAAGAAAAACAAAUUUUUUUGGUCAAUUAAGGGUUAAAUUGAAGAGAUUUGCAACUAAGGACCAUUUUGCAAAACAUAUCGAACUAUGGGGUAAUUCAUGAAAAUCAGGGAUGAAAUUGAAGAAAAUUUAAAGUUUGAUGGUCAAAUUGCAUAAAUCCAAGACCAAGGAUCAAAUUGAAAAAGAUGCUAAAAUUCAGGGCUGAUAUUGAAAUCCAGCAAGGGCAAAAUUGUAUUAAAUCAAAAGUUUGGAGUCAAUUAGGGGUCAAAUUGAAAGAAAUCAAAAGCUGAAGGACCAAAUUGAACUUUGGAAAACUACCUUAAUUUAAGGUCCAAAAUGGAUUUGUUUUUUAACAUUAAAAAAAAAAGGCAACCAGACGACGCAUCGUCUAGUUAAUGUCCAUUGUCUUCUUCUUCUGACCCGAAAACGUUGUUUGGAUGGCUAUUUUUCAUGGGCAUUUAAUACUUCAUCUCUCAAUCAAACCGGACAAACCAUACACCACCAUGAUGAGCUGACAUUAUACUUCACCCCAGAGUGGAUCUCGCCGGCUAAUUAUCCCUACAGCCGCCACAGUGUCGCCUCAAAUUGGUCAAUCUAACUAACAUUUAGCAACCAGCUUUUUCAGGUCAUGAUAACAACUUUGAACCAACGGUUAAGAUCCUUCUGUGUCGAAUCAAGAGCCAAGAUUGGCACUAGUAAAGACAAGAUGUCCAUCUUCCAUGCCCCGAGCAUCAAGAAAUUAGAGCCCAAAUUUGGUGCAAAUAAGUUUUUCUUACCAGAUCUUUUGUUCUUCUCCACCAGCCAUCUUCUUCCUCUUCUUUCGCAACAUCUUCGCUUCUUUCGCAACAUCUUCGCUUCCAGCAAUGCUGCCAACAACACGUUGGCCUUCCUAGCAUUGCUAAUUAGCAAUCCCCCAUAGUUGGUAACCUUUUCUUCCCCUUUUUGGAUGCAAACGAGGCAGCCAUUUGUAAGCAUAACAUUUGGUUCUGCAUGCAAAAUUCAACCACUUCAUAUGGUCAUUGGGUCGGGCCAAUGACCAUGUGAAGAUAGGUUGGACCCCUUCCAACCCAACCCAUGAUGGCUUGGUUAAGUACAGCCCAUAAAAAAGGAUGAAGGCCAGGUCUGUUGGGCUGCCUGGCGCCACGACCUGACCCGGCAAGGUCCGGCCCAAAUGGCUGGGUAGGGCCCAGCCCAAUAUAUAUAAUAAUAAUAUUAAAAUAAAAAUAAAAACUUUGAAAGCCCUUCCAAAAAAUUUGUGAUUUUCUCGCACGUUUUUCUAUCAAUUUUGCAUAAUAUCGGGCUGUAUAAUUACACUAUAUGAUACAUAUCCGAUAUUAAAACACCUAGUUUUUUCUGAAACAUUUCAAAAUAAAAUUCAAAAUUUUUUAAAUUAAUUUCCUCUUUCAAAAAAACAAAAAAUGUUUUGUUUUCAUGCAUAUAGUCAAAUCCUCAAAGUUUUCCAAGCAUGUUUUCAAAAAAAAAAAACAAAAAAUUGUAUUUUUCUCAUGUUUUAAAAUAUAAAAUAGAUAUCAUAACUAAUUUAUAAUUAUCCAUUAGGGUUUAACCAAAAUGUCAAAAACCCUUCACCAAUUAUUUUUUUCAUUUUAUAUUAUGGUUUAAAUGUAGACUUAAAUAUUUGGGGGCGUAAAACUAUACAGUAGAGUAUACCCUCAGGUAUUAAAGACAAAAGUUCAAUAUAAAUGCGAUACUAAAAUUUAGACUUUAGAACGGUUGGAUUUAACAUCAUAAGGUAUAGAUUUUGUCAUGAAGAGAGAUCUAUCUUAAACCUUAGACGAUUUCAACGAAUAGAAACUUAACUUAGAAUAACAAUCAAAAAACAAUGUACCUUACUUCAGGUAGGCUGCACUGGAGAUAAUGCGUCUUUUCCUUACACAAUCAGUCUCUUACUCAGACUCUCACAGACUAUAUGUUUCCUAGUAACCAUUAUAUUAAAUGGUGACUCUUAAAUCUUAAUUAUAAUUUUAUGCUUACAUCAAAAACUCUUUUUUUUUCUAACAAUACCUUUCAAGAGGCACUUAAAACGCGUCGUUUGACGUCGCCUGUGACAUAAUCCAUUAAACAUGAAAUGGAAAUAAAUAAGUAAAGAAUAUUGCAAGCAUCAAGUUGUCUAUCUCCGAAAAAAAAAAAGAAGAAGAAAAAUUUUGGAACCUUAAUUAAGUUUGUUUAAAUCUCUAUCACACCCAUUAUUUAAUGUUUGACAAACAACACAUGUAGAAUAGGUGAAACCAAACCUACAGUACAAUAUUUGCAUUUUUGUUGUGUUGUGAGAAAAAAAGAAAAGAAAAAGAACAUGGUCUGUCUCGGAAGGAGAAGGGAAAUUGACCGUUGUCGCUGCUUUUGACAGGGGGUUUGAAAUUAGCAACACCAUCUUGGGACCUUCGAGCAAGUCAACUUUCAUUUAAUUUUCGACUUUAUAAACACGGCUAGCCCACCGAAUUUUAUUAGGGGAAAAGCCCGUUCCCAAGUUGCCAUUGCCAUUAGAUUAUGACUUAUGGCUCACCUGUUUAAGAUAGUUCUAAUAAUAAAAUUUUAGUGGCUGACCGACCGAUCCUCGAAGCAGCAGAUUCUGCAAAGCGUCAAAAAACCAUGCAGCAAAGGGUAAUUAGAAGCAAGUCAGAAAAGCAAAAACCAAAUGGAAACCGGGUGCUGACUGCUCGUCAACUGUCUGUGUGCCCCUCAUUUACGUAUAAAUAAGCACAAGACCAACUUCUUAUUCAUCAACAUCAAAUCAGUUAUCUCGGAAAGCUUCUCUUUAUUUCACAGAGCACAGAGCCAACUCCUGAUUCAUCAAUAUCAUAUUAGUUCUCUCUAAAGCUUCCCUUUAAUUUACGGUUUUAAACCUUCUCUAGUUCUAGUUUGUGAGUAAAUUAAGAGAGACCAAAAAUGAGUGUGGAGAUUUUGGAUGGUGCCACCAUUGUCAACUUUCUGGAGGACGAGGAAGCAUUCAACGCGCAAAUAUGUGACCGCUUCGCCCACCUUGAUUCAGACCAUGAUGGACGGCUUUCCUACGGGGAAAUGUUGAAGGAGCUGCAGUGUUUGAGGUUAUUGGAAACCCACUUCGGCGUGGAUGUGGAAACAGACCCGGAUGAGCUUGCUCUCGUCUAUGGUUCUCUUUUUGUCCAAUUUGAUCAUGACUUGAAUGGGACAGUGGAGUUAGAAGAGUUCAAGUCAGAGACCAAGCAAAUGAUGCUAGCCAUGGCCAAUGGUAUGGGUUUCUUGCCUGUUCAGAUGGUCCUGGAAGAAGACAGUUUCCUGAAGAAGGCUGUGGAGUGGGAAUCUGCUAAACUCGUUGCCUGAUUAAUUCCACAUCCAUUACCCUAUACAUGACUCAUUAAUUGUCUUCGUUAUUUCUUUCUUCUCCGAAUGCAUUCCAAGUUUAGCUGAAUGUAGCAAAGAAAAUAAAUGAAAUGCUCUGUUAUUGGUGCAAUUUGGCAUCUUAAAACUCGGUUCUCUCCUAAUGCAAUUUGGUCAUGACCAUCCAGCCAUAGUUAAUAUAACGAAAGGCUGACAGAAACACGAAUAUCUUUCCUCUUUCAAGAGGGCUUCAUCAACUAAUAGAUACAUGGGCACAAGGAUUGAGCUGGAUGCAUCUCAGUCAUCGUUCAAAAUUUAGCUUCAAGGGAAUGGAAGAACAGAGUUGCAUCAGAAUGGUAAAAGAAUUUGCGUGUCAGGUCCAGGGGAAUAGAUGAAAAUUAAAGAAAUAACUGUCCUCAUAUAAAGUCUAGUUAAAUAAAAACUUCGAGUCGAAUCUGCGGUGCGAUUUAACUAGAUUUUGCGAUCUAAACACCAGAUUCCAUCAUGAUUUGUUUAGCAUGCGUAUGAAACAAACUCCCCGCAUUGGAUCAAAAAACAAUGACAUCUCAGGAGAUGGAAUGAAGGAGAGAAUGCUUUCGCCAAACAGCUCAAACAGGGAUACCAGAAGAUGCCCAUUAUUCAAGUCUUCGUUCAAACCUUGUUGAGAAUGUGAUGCGGAACAAUAAAUCAAAAAAUAAAAUAAAAAAUUAAAGCAGUAAAGAAUGAAGCCUUAAAGAAAUAAGUUAAGAAAUAAAAGUAAAGAAAGGGUAAAGCAAAAAAAAAAAACAGAGAGAAUUCAGGAAGAAAAGUCUAUCAUUUUUAUUUAAUCAUAACAAACUUUUGCAAAAACUAAAAGAGAAAUAUAUAAAUAGCAUAACCCUAAAACAUCCGUUUAUUGGGUUCAACUCAUCAAUUAAAAUUUUCUAGUAUAAAUAAGUCAAAUAAAUAAAAUAAAACAAUGAAAUAGGCCCAAAUGGACUCAAUCUUCCAACCAAAGAGUAACAUGCUAGGCCAUUCUAUGUCGUCUCUGUCCAUAUACUCGUGUAAUUUGCAGUGUGGGUCUAGAGUCCCCACCAACUCUCCCAGUGUAGCUCUGGAUGACCCUAAUAGCACUUCCAAAAAUUUGGAUCAAUCUGCUGCAAAGUAUCUAUAGUGAUCCAAAUACAAUUUGAAUCAGGUUGGCCCACCCAAGAAUUAGAAACCGUUGAACCUCACUAUUCCUAGUAAAAAAAACUUGUUCAACCAUAAUGACAUCAAUAUUAUCUUUUUGUGUUUAGAUCAAGGUCAAAGGGGUAGAAGUUUUAAUAAGAUCAUCAAGAGGAGAGUUAGGUGGCAUCUCAAAGGGAUCAUUUGGAAUAGGAUGUUGUUUCUGGUACGCAACUAAAUCCGCAAUGUUAAAUGUAAAGUUAAUGCUAAAAUCAAGUGGUAAAUCAAGAACACAAGCAUUUGGACCAACCCCUUGUAGCACUUUGAAUGGCCCUGCACUACGUGCAUGCAAUUUUUGAUUAGUUCCUAAAGGAAACUGCUUAUGUCUAUUUCGUAUCAUAACUUAGUCUCCUACAUUAAAUUUAUUAUAUCAUCUAUGUAAAUAAGCUUAGAGUUUAUAUUGUGCAUUACUUGUUUGAAUCUGCUUAGUGAUCUCAAUAUGCAAAUUCUAAAUUUUACGUGUAAAAAACUUUGCUAACUCAAACACCUUAGCAUGAAGAGACAUGGGAAGAACGUUUAAAGGUUUCCUAGGCUUGUAACCAUGUACAACUUCAAAGGGAAUCAUGCCAUUUGACAUAUUGACAAAACUAGUAAAUGCAAACUAGGUCAUAGGAAGAACCAAAUCCCAAUUUCUAUUAUGAUAACUCACUAGACACCUCAAAAGGUUGCCUAAUCUGGGUGGUAGGCACUAGAAAACUUCAACUUAGUUCCCACUAUAUGGCGAAGGGUUUUCUAGAAAUAACUCGUAAAUCUAACAUCCUUAUCUAAGACUAUGGUUUGGGGAAAAUCAUACAGCUUGACAAUCUCGUUAAAAUAGAGUUCCCCAACUCUAGAAGCAUCUGUGGUCUUAGUAAAAAGGAUAAAAUGAUCCAUUUUAGAGAAACGGUCAACAACCAUAAAAAAUGAAUCACGCUUCUUUGCAGUACGUGGAAGUCGACACACAAAAUCCAUACUUACAUUUUGCCAAGGGCAAGUAAAACAGGUAACGGGGUGUAAAGACCACUAUUUUGUUUUUCAGACAAUUGUAUAUUAAUGUUAUUGUUAUUAUAUUAUAGUCUACAUCUCUUUUCAAACUAGACUAAAACAAAUUGAUGUUCCCUCUUUUAAAUGGGUUUAUUUCUUCCAAAAUGUUCUGAAAGACCUUCAACAUGAAUCUCUCAUAUCAAAAAUUCACACACGGAUGUUUUCGAGAUAUAAAGCUUAUUAUCCCAAAACAAAUACCCUUCUUUGAGGUGAUAACUAUCUACAACAUGGUUAUUCUCAUCUCUCGAAGUCAUAUAUACUUCUCUAAAUUCUGAGCAAGAUUCAUACUCCUCUUUGAGCCUCUCAAAUCCAGUAACUUCUCAUUACGGAUAACAGUGUUACUCGACGAUUCAAGGCAUCUGCCGUUUUAUUCUAGAUUUAUGUUUCAAAACAAAUGAAUAACCUUGCAAAUAUUCAACCCAAUGACCAUGCCUAUUUCAACUGCAAAUAGAGAAAAGGAACAGACUAUGCGUUUCUAAGGCAAAUAAGGAGCAUAAACAAGUUGUUUUCCAACCCGGUGAUUGGGUUGGGUGCACAUGCAUAAGGAACAAUUUCCUAACCAAAGGAAAUCAAAAUUACAUCCUCGUAGUGAAGACCCAUUUUAGAUUUUUAAAGAGGAUCAAUGACAACGCAUUCAAAAUUGAUCUUUUAGGUGAAUAUGGUGUUACUGCUACCUUUAAAGUUGUUGAUCUUACUUUGUUUGACAUAGGUUUUGAUUCGAGGUUGAAUCCUUUCGAGGAGAGAGGGGAUGAUGUGGAUCAGCCCACAAACUCCAGCAAGAACCCAUUACAUGUUCUAAAUGGGCUAAUGACUCGGGGUAAGACAUAGGCAUUGAAAGAGGCAUUGAAUGCAUUGGUUUUGAAUGUUUCGACCAAGUCAAAUUUGAAGGGUCCAUUGGAGUAUCAAGAGAAGGCCUUAGUACAUCUUAUCCAUGUGCAAAAAGGACCUAAUCUAACCUUAUUUGGGCCAUGAGGUUUCGGUAAUAAGGUUGCCACUUUUCCAAAUGUUCGGUCAGUCUUGUUUUUAUAAUGUUUCUAUGUAUUUUUUAGAUUCCUAAUUAGUUUUGGACUUGCUAUUAUGUAUUAGAACAUUAAUUAUUUCCUUUAAGUAUUAGAAUUUAUUAUUUUAUUUAUUUUCUUGUUAGGUGAGGAGAAAACACAACAAAGAAAACAAAAAAAUCCAAGUUGACUUAGGAAGUGGCGGCAAAGCUUCCUAAUUAUGCAAGGAGAUUAUUCCAAUAACUUCAAUUAUGUUUCCUAAUAUUACAAGGAUCCUAAGAGGUGGCAAAAGAAGGGAAUUAAUACCUUAAAUUACUUUCCUUUCAAAAUAAGAAAAAAAAACAUAAGUUUAAGAUCAAAAUCCUACUACAACUUGCAAACAACAUAGGCGGCUACCUUUCCUUUAGUUUCAAGGAUUAAUGAGAUGUAUGGAAGAUUAUAAAUAAGCCUUGAAUCAAUUUUGUAAUAUUUUCUUUCCUUCUCUUCUUCUCACGGUGAAAUAAAGAUUUAAUAUUAUAGGCUUUUUUAUAUUUUGUUUAGGCUUAAUUAAUAUAUAUAUUUUUAGCUAGGAUCCAAGGCUUGUUUGGAUUAGGGUUUGGGUUUACUAGUAAAGGUUUUGGGUCAGUUUUUAUAUGUGGGUCAGUUUAGCCCCCAAGGGUGGAUUCAUUUAGGUUAAUUUUUUAGAACUAUUUAAACACAUGAAAGCCUAAAUUUCAGCAGCGAUUGAUGAAUAAUACUUAUGAAUUUUUCAAUUUUAACGUGUGAGAGAGAUUCUUGUAUUUUUUGGUUCUUGAACGAAAUGAAUCUAACUUCUCAAAGAUUAAUUGGCUUCAUGGCGUCAUUCGACAUCAUUCCAAUAAUGUUGGUGUCUUAGGACAGGUUCCUAUUGUGUGACACUCCUAUCAGAUCAAUUUUGUCUUUUUAGGAUCAGAUCUCAAUCUUGAAUGUGGAUUGUGUGACCACGUAAUCACGAGGUUCACAUCAGUGUUCAAGAGAUGCUAAUAAAUAUCUUUGAGUGGUAAAGGUAUGUCAAUAUUUGAUACGAGCACUUGAGCAUCCGAUGACAUAAUGAGAUCCAAUUGGACAAGACUCCUAAUCUGAGAGCCAUUUCCCUAUUCAUAUUCUAUCAUGACUUUAGAGUUCACAUUUGGGGUUUCCUCGAAGGUGAUCCAUCUUGCCUCAAUAAGUUUGAGGAACUUGUCUUUAAAAGCAUAACAACUUUGAAUGUUAUGACCACUAGUGCCAUCAUGAUACUCACAUAUCUAGUUAGGAUCAUACCAUUUUAGAUAUAGGGGUUGAAAUGGUUUCUAGAGAAUCAAAAUAAUUUGUCGAAUAUUGACCAAUAUUUUAAAUAUCUCCUUAAAAGAUAAAGGAAAGGGCGAUAGAGUUUUCUUUAACUACUGUGACUUUUCAUAUAUUUGCUUUUUAGAUCGAACCUAAUUAGCCAUUUGAGGAGAAUGAUUCGGAUGCUAAGAUACAUGAUGAUCUUAAUUCAUACUUCCCAUAUGGAAGCUAUCUUCUAUUUUGUCAAAUGACAUAGUAUUAAACCUAUCUUCUUAAUUCCAUAUCCUUCUCAAUUUCAAUCCUUGCUCCACCCUCUCUGCUGUCAUUAUUAUCUCUAUAAAAUAAGUUGAUCAAUUACAAGUUAUGUAAUCACAAUAAUGAGUCUUUAAAGUAUUGAUGAAGAUGGAAUUGAUCUCAUUUUAUAGUAGUGGAGCGUAAACUUGUGUUUCCAUUUCUCGCAGCCUCAUCGCAUAUUCCUUGACUGACUCAUCAUUUCUCAUCUCAAUUCUUUGAAUGUCUAACCUGGUUAGAGCCAUCUUUAAGUUGAAUCCAAAUUAUUGCAGAAAUGCAUCAGCCAAGUAUUCUCAUUUCUUCUUUUCAGAGCCAUUUAAAUCCAAGUUGGGUUUUAAAAUUAUGAUAAUAAUCAUUUUUAUCCUUACAUGUCUUAUUUGUACAAUUUUGAAAUUGAGAGUUUUUUACAAGGAUAUUUUAGAAAUAAAAAAUAACAAAUAUUAUUUCUAGAGACAUGUCCUCUAUGUACCUUCUAUUUUGAAAGUAUAGACAUUCACUCCAAAAUUAUCCGAGAAACAUAUUUCUUUUUAUGUUUUUAUCUCUUUAACAAAACAUAUUUAUGUCUUCAUUGUCUUCGUAUGUUCUGUCUCAGGACAGUAACCAAACACUACCUAGUAUACACUAUUUAAACUAUUUUUAAUGAUUUGGAUAUUAAUUAUCUUUUUUGAAUAAAAUUUCAAGAGUCAAGUUUCUCUAUACAACUUCACUGUUAUUAUUGUUCCAAGGGUUUUUGAGAAAUAAUAAACCCUAAUACUUCUAGUAAGCUGCAUCAUUUGUAUAAAGAAAGCAUCAUUGUUAACUGGAAUAUUUUAAAAGCUUAAACACCUAAAAAAAGUUAGACUGACAAAUAGACUCCUAAGCAACUAAAUGCUUUUCCUAUGACCCUUUGAAUUACCCUAUCAUAAUAGAAAGUGAUUCAUCAUGCUAAAGAUAAUCGAGUCGUCUGCCAACCUUGCACUCCAUUCUGAACUUUUUCCACCACUAUACUAUAUGUAUUUGUUAACAAGCACAUGUAACAUAGGAACUCCAAAAUAUUACCAAAUAUUUUCUAUUAAAGCAAACCCUAAAUAUGAAUUGAUAUCACGAGUCACCCUUAGACGAAUAAAACAAUCUGGUUUUAGCCACACUAACAUUUUUUUACCAAAAAGUUACAAAAGUCAUGUAUGAUAACUUUGAUUUGCUUCAAAUCAGGUUUUGCAAAAAAGAAUUGUCACCAACAAAUACAGAUGACAACUUCACCCGACUCGUUUGGAAUCUAGUGUCAUUCAAUUCGGUUGGAUCAUAUUUUUAUCCAAUUUUAUUUGAAAAAUAAAUAAAAUUCAAUUCAAUUUGACUAAAGAUAGAUGCGGAGGUUAAUAAAUGGUUCACUUAACCCAUCACUUGACUCAACUUUUACGUGGUUUUUUAACCCUUUUAUAUUUUAUAGAGUUGUAAUUUAUAUUUCAAUAUAGUAUAUGGAUUUUUAUCCCAUUAUUCACGGAGGAUUGUUAUGGUUUUACAUGUAGAUGUAAAGUUUAGACUCUAUUUUAUUGUUUUAUGAUUUAUAGAUGGAUAUAUUUUUUUUUUAAGCUUCAAUUUUAUUUUUUAAAAUUUGAUUAAAAAUAUAACAAUUGGAUCAAAUGAGGUACUUGUCGAAUGAAGAAAGUUCUUCAUCCAAUCCAAUCGUAUACAAGAUGAAGUCAAGUGCUGGAUUUAGAUAUCUCUGGUUAGAGAUGGGGGAGCAAAAUUCAGUCGCAACCCAAUCUUUAUCGUUCUUGUAAAUAAAGAAAGGAUGAGAAAUAAUCAAACCCCUUUACUAAAAUAGACAAAUUCAUUCUCUAGUCUCAACCGUAUUGGAUCAAUUUUUCCAUACAUAAAACAAAGGUAUAAGAAUAAAGGAUCGUCAUAUUGAAUACCUUGUGAUGAAGUAUAGGAAUUUGAAAUCUUAGCUUUCCAACUCACUUAUAACAAGGUUACUGUGAUACGCUUCAUGAUUAAGGAUGUGAAACUAUCCAAAAUACCAUAUCCCUAAUAACGUUUAGGAUCAAGUCCUACCUCAAACAAUCAUAAACCUUUUUUAGGUCUAUCUUAAUCAUCAUCAGAUAUAUUCUAAUUUUCUUUUCUACAUCUAGAGUUAAGAGCCAAUCAUACAAUCAUAGUGGUAUUAUUGUGCUUCUUUGAAACAAAACACUGGUACUGACUAGCGAAUAUGUGCCAGUCAAGAGUAUUUGCCAUGAAACUCUGUAUAAACUUCUUAAUUGGUUAGCAUUCUUACUUCAAUGUAAUUAAUGUUUUUACAUUCUGAAACUCUUAUUUGAAGCACAUCACGCAAUGCUUUCUUUAGACCUAACUUUUCUUAUAUACAUGUCUUAUGUGAUAAGGAUAAGGAAAAUCUUCAAUUUUCCUAGUUUGUCAUGUUGGUAACAGACUGUUAACGUGUUUUGACAAAAACAAUGAUAAAGUUAUCUUCAGAUUACUUUUUCUACUUUAUAUUAACUUAUCUCUUAAAUAAUCUAAACUAAUCAAAUAAUUACAGAGAAGAUAAUACUAACUAAUCUUGAUAAACUUCUAUCUUAGCUAAAUUAUCCUUUUACCAACCAUAAAAAGAUCUUCACUAAUCUAAACUAAUAAAAUGACAUUUAUUACAAAGUUGAUCCCGUUAUUCUCUUAGGUUAUUAUUAGAUGGGGGAAAGUAAAGGUCUAAAGGCAAAAUGUCAAAACUUCUAUAUUUAAAAUUAGUUGAAAAUCAUACCUUGUUUUCUCUGUAAGUGGCAUGUUGAUGACAACUAUGUCAUAUUUAGAAAGCAUUGAAUCUAGAUCCUCCUCAAACUUUGCUCCUGUUUGAUUCUCCAACUCUGUCUUCAUCUUAAGUCUAUCAUGAUACAGUAGAGUGCAAUUGAAAGGUUUCAAACGUUAGAGUAAAAGCCUUCUGAUGCAUCUAGCACCAACAGUUUCCACUGUCUUUCCUUCAAGAUCGUAAGCCCUGUAUGUAAUAACUGCCACAUUCUACUUCCCAUUGAUUGAUGACUUAUGAUAUCCAGGUAAGAAAUAUCAUACAAGAACAAGGAUUCUCAUGAGCUCAUCUUUUGCAACUGGGACAACAUUGCUUCUUGUGACCUCUGCAGUAGUUAACCAGGUAGCAGCCGCUGCCUUCAAAUCUCUAUGAUCAGAACCAAUUCCAGCAGUGAGAAGAGGUUUGUUGCCCUCUUGAUCAUUUAUGUCGUAACAUACGCAGGGUGGAAAGGUGUAGUGAUGAGGACAUGGAGAUAAGGAAUAUGCUUGUCAAGUUCUGUGACAAUUACACAGUCGAAGAGCAAAAAAUCAACAAACUGGCCAUCCUAAUAAUCUUGGAAAUAAAAGGCACAAAUUGAGCAUCUUGAAAUCAUUUAAUGUCAUCACUACGAUUAGGACAUGGAGAUCAGCAGUAGAUCUUGUUGUUCUCUUAGGUCAUUAGGGAAAGUAAAGGUCUAAAGGCAAAAGAUCUAAACUUCUAUAUUUAAAAUUAGUUGAAAAUCAUACCUUGUUUUCUAUGUAAGUGGCAUGUUGAUGACAAUUAUGUCAUAUUUAGAAAGCAUUGAAUCUAGAUCCUUCUCAAACGUUACACUUGUCUGAUUCUCCAAUGUGGCUCUAUGUUAAGUCUAUCAUGAUACUGUAUAGUGCAAUUGAAAGGCUUCAAACGUUGGAGUAAAAGCCUUCUGAUGCGUCCAACACCAACAAUUCCCAUUGUCUUUCCUUCAAGAUCAUAAGCCCUGUAUGCAAUUGCUACCACAUUCCACUCCUCAUUGAUAACUUGAUGAUAUCUAGGUAAGAAAAUUCAUACAAGAACAAGGAUUCUCAUGAGCUCCUCUUCUCCAACUGAGACAACAUUGAAAAUAGGGAAACACUCAAUAUCCUAUAGAUGCAGGAACACAACUUGAACAAAGAACCUAAAUGCUUAAAAACAACACACUUGCAGGCUUGAAGCUCCUUAUAUUUUUAGCCUCGUGUGAAGAUGUGGACAAUGAUUGUCAACGGUGAUCAUAUGCUAUAUUUUCAGCCUCUUGUUCAAGGUAAUUCUAUUGAGGAUUAAAUACUUACUCAUCUUAUAUCUUUCUAUAUGGAGGCCUAUUUUAGUUUAUGUUAUGUCAGGUGCGUGUUAUGUCAGGUGCAUCCUCCAUGAAGAAAAAAAAUGAAAAAAUUCAGUUAGAACCAUAAUUAAGUUUGUUUAAUUCUCUAAGACAACUAUAUGCCCAUUAUUUAAUGUUUGACAAACAACACAUGUAGAAUAGACAACUAUAUGCCCGUAUUUUCAUUUUUGUUGUGUAUUGCGGGGAAAAAAAGAAGAAGAAGAAGAAAAAGAACAUGGUCGGUCCGUCUUACAAGGAGAAGGGAAAGUGACCGCUGUCGGUGCUUUCGACGGGGGUUUUGAAAUUACCAGCACCAUCUUUGGACCUUCGAGAAGUCAACUUUCAUUUGAUUUUCGACUUUAUAAACACGGCUAGCCCACCGAAUUUUAUUAGGGGAAAAGCCCAUUCCUAAGUUGCCAAUGCCAUUAGAUUCUGACUGAUGGCUCGCGUGUUUAAUAAGUUUUUAGUGGCUGACCGACCGAUCCUUGAAGCAGCGGAUCAUGCAAAGCGUCAAAUAACCAAAUGGAAACUGGGUGCUAACUAUAUUUCUGACUGCUAGUCAACUGUCUGUGUGCCCCUCAUUUACGUAUAAAUGAGCACGAGACCAGCUUCUUAUUCAUCAACAUCAAAUCAGUUAUCUCGAAAGCUUCUCUUUAUUUCACAGAGCACAGAGCCAACUCCUGAUUCAUCAAUAUCAUAUUAGUUCUCUCUAAAGCUUCCCUUUAGUUUACGGUUUUAAACCUUCUCUAGUUCUAGUUUGUGAGUAAAUUAAGAGAGACCAAAAAUGAGUGUGGAGAUUUUGGAUGGUGCCACCAUUGUCAACUUUCUGGAGGACGAGGAAGCAUUCAACGCGCAAAUAUGUGACCGCUUCGCCCACCUUGAUUCAGACCAUGAUGGCCGGCUUUCCUACGGGGAAAUGUUGAAGGAGCUGCAGUGUUUGAGGUUAUUGGAAACCCACUUCGGCGUGGAUGUGGA
rnacentral:lncRNA from 1 species